CCUAUGGGAGGCAGCAGUGGGGAAUUUUGGACAAUGGGGGCAACCCUGAUCCAGCAAUGCCGCGUGAGUGAAGAAGGCCUUCGGGUUGUAAAGCUCUUUUGUCAGGGAAGAAACGGGUGGGGCUAAUAUCCUCAUCUAAUGACGGUACCUGAAGAAUAAGCACCGGCUAACUACGUGCCAGCAGCCGCGGUAAUACGUAGGGCGCAAGCGUUAAUCGGAAUUACUGGGCGUAAAGCGUGCGCAGGCGGUUAUGUAAGUCAGAUGUGAAAUCCCCGGGCUCAACCUGGGAACUGCAUUUGAGACUGCAUGGCUAGAGUGUGUCAGAGGGGGGUAGAAUUCCACGUGUAGCAGUGAAAUGCGUAGAUAUGUGGAGGAAUACCGAUGGCGAAGGCAGCCCCCUGGGAUAACACUGACGCUCAUGCACGAAAGCGUGGGGAGCAAACAGGAUUAGAUACCCUGGUAGUCCACGCCCUAAACGAUGUCUACUAGUUGUCGGGACUUAAUUGUCUUGGUAACGCAGCUAACGCGUGAAGUAGACCGCCUGGGGAGUACGGUCGCAAGAUUAGAACUCAAAUGAAAUUGACGG
rnacentral:rRNA from 1 species